rnacentral:rRNA from 1 species
UAGGGAAUAUUGCACAAUGGGGGAAACCCUGAUGCAGCGACGCCGCGUGAGUGAUGAAGGCCUUCGGGUCGUAAAGCUCUGUCGUAUGGGACUAACACAAUGAAGGUACCAUGCAAGAAAGGAUCGGCUAACUUCGUGCCAGCAGCCGCGGUAAGACGAGGGAUCCUAGCGUUGUUCGGAAUUAUUGGGCGUAAAGCGGGUGUAGGCGGAUUUAUAAGUCAGGUGUGAAAUCCCAGGGCUCAACCCUGGAAGUGCACUUGAUACUGUAGAUCUUGAGUGUGGUAGAGGUUACUGGAAUUCCUGGUGUAGUGGUAAAAUACGUAGAUAUCAGGAGGAAUACCGGAGGCGAAGGCGAGUAACUGGGCCAACACUGACGCUGAGACCCGAAAGCGUGGGGAUCAAACAGGAUUAGAUACCCCUGUAGUCCCUGAGCGGGCUGGCAAGGCGCAU